UCCUACUCCUACCUCCAUUCCAUGGACCAGGGUGAUCUGUGGCCUUCUGCUCUUCAUCCUCUACAGCAUCAUACUUGUUUUGUGUGUAUUGGCGUACCGCAGGUGGGCUAGAGCCCGGGCUAAAUAGGACAUCUGGUGCUCAUGUUGUAGCGGACUGAAGACAAGGGUGAAGACAACAUACAGAGAUGUGCAUGUUACAACCAAACUACGGCGUAAUAAGCUGAACAGUAUUAAAUGUAUAGAACUUUUUUGUUGUUGUUGCUAUUUAUCCAUAUAAAACAAGCUAGUAUUUCAAUACAGUCAUGCCAUCUAAUAGACUGCAUGUCGUACUAUAUAUGAAAAAAAAAUGUUUUGCAGUUUUAUUGUCUGCCAAGCUUCGGAACCGUUUACCAUGAGUAACCUGCUUAAUUAUUAAAGGCUUAACCUGAAAUCUUAUUUUGGACAUCAAUAUAUCACCAGCCGUCUUUUAAGCUGUUGCUUAUUAUCAGACUUUUUCAGUACACAGGGGUUAAGUUUUUACAUGUUACAAGGCAUAACAGGGCUUUGCUGGUUAGGUAGGGUCUACUUGUCUCAUGCUGUAUUACUUAUGAAGUAAAAUUUUGACAGUCUGGAUUGUAGUGGAGCUUGACAUGGGCUCCACUGCAAUGCAUUUCCAGAAUUUGGAUCCAAAUGUUAGGUUGAUUUUAUGGUUAUUCAUAUUUGGAGCUAGAUGCUAACUUUGCCCCUGUUUUUUCCUCAUCUAUCUGGAUUGUGUUGUUCUGAAACAUAUACAAAUGCAAACAUUUUGGAUUCCACAACCACAUUUGGAGAUAUCCACGUUUUGACGGCGCCACAGCAUCUACGUGAAAAUUUCAGAGAAACGUACAACAUUGUUUAACUGCUUUAUUUUGAAACAGCAUAUCAAAAAGUAUUCCUACAACUGCUAAAGAGAUGUAUUAUUACUGUUCUAGCAAAAUAUUAAUGUAUUCUGUUUUUCAUAUA